rnacentral:rRNA from 1 species
GACGAACGCUGGCGGCGUGCUUAACACAUGCAAGUCGAACGGAAAGGCCCUGCUUUUGUGGGGUGCUCGAGUGGCGAACGGGUGAGUAACACGUGAGUAACCUGCCCUUGACUUUGGGAUAACUUCAGGAAACUGGGGCUAAUACCGGAUAGGAGCUCCUGCUGCAUGGUGGGGGUUGGAAAGUUUCGGCGGUUGGGGAUGGACUCGCGGCUUAUCAGCUUGUUGGUGGGGUAGUGGCUUACCAAGGCUUUGACGGGUAGCCGGCCUGAGAGGGUGGCCGGCCACAUUGGGACUGAGGUACGGCCCAGACUCCUACGGGAGGCAGCAGUGGGGAAUAUUGCACAAUGGGAGGAAGCCUGAUGCAGCAACGCCGCGUGCGGGAUGACGGCCUUCGGGUUGUAAACCGCUUUCGCCUGUGACGAAGCGUGAGUGACGGUAAUGGGUAAAGAAGCACCGGCUAACUACGUG